rnacentral:misc_RNA from 1 species
AGCGUGAACCCUGCACUAGUGCGGGAGAACAUCAUCGGCCGCAGCCCCUCCGACUGGAAGGCGCUGACGGGGGCGACGCGCUCGCCAAGGAGGGAGUUGACGGUGGAGGACUUGCCGACGCCGCCUUUGCCCAUGACGAGGAUUGUGAGUGAGGAGACGUUGUCCUGGUUGAGCUUGCGGAGGAGUUCGUGCAGCUUCUGCUGUGUGGCAACAGGGAAUUGCUGGAUUCCGGUCCAAUCGCGGGUAAUCUGGGUCGCCAUGACUCCCGGCUCGUGGAGGGCCG